rnacentral:rRNA from 1 species
GACGAACGCUGGCGGCGUGCUUAACACAUGCAAGUCGAACGGAAAGGCCCUGCUUUUGUGGGGUGCUCGAGUGGCGAACGGGUGAGUAACACGUGAGUAACCUGCCCUUGACUUUGGGAUAACUUCAGGAAACUGGGGCUAAUACCGGAUCGGAGCUCCUGCUGCAUGGUGGGGGUUGGAAAAUUUCGGCGGUUGGGGCUGGACUCGCGGCUUAUCAGCUUGUUGGUGGGGUAGUGGCUUACCAAGGCUUUGACGGGUAGCCGGCCUGAGAGGGUGACCGGCCACAUUGGGACUGAGAUACGGCCCAGACUCCUACGGGAGGCAGCAGUGGGGAAUAUUGCACAAUGGGCGGAAGCCGGAUGCAGCAACGCCGCGUGCGGGAUGACGGCCUUCGGGUUGUAAACCGCUUUCGCCUGUGACGAAGCGUGAGUGACGGUAAUGGGUAAAGAAGCACCGGCUAACUACGUG